CAUCGCCACCAGUGUGGUUCCCAUGCCCGCCAGCUCGGGCUCGGCGUCGAUCCUCUGGCGCAGAGCCCGGUUGGCGGCGU
rnacentral:tRNA from 1 species